CAGCUCUGUGCUGCCAUUGAUCUAUCUGUCUGGCAGGAAAUACAAUUCGACCAAACAACAUUCCAGCUAAAAGUUCCAAAUGCAAAUGAACAAGAGUCAAUGAGGUACUUCCACCAAGGAUGUGACAACUUCAGUUUAUGGUCUUAAUCUUGAAAAAAAAGAUAAACCAAAGGCAAAACAGCAAAACUCAUCUGAAGUAAAGCCUAAAGCAGACUCAUGAACCCAGUGAA